AUGGUGGUCGAUGCUCUUGCGGCCAUUCUGGACAAGGCUAAGGCCGCGGGACAUAUUAGUGGGAUCACCCCCCACUUGACUGGGGGCGUUGGCAUCUCCCUGCUCCAGUACGCUGACGACACCAUCAUCAUGGUCGAAGGCUCAGAUACGGACAUCGCUAGCCUUAAAUUCCUCCUCCUCUGCUUCCAACAAAUGUCUGGUCUUAAGAUCAACUUCGACAAGAGCGAUGUGAUGGUGAUGGGCUAUUCCCCGGCUGAGGCCCUUGACAUUACCAACCGCCUCAAUUGCCGCCUGGGUUCCUUCCCAACGACCUACCUGGGAACGCCCAUUAGUGACUCUCGGCUCACUGUGGCGGACCUUCGUCCUGCGGUGACCAAGUUGCAAACGCGCAUUGAGCCUUGGCAGGGUCGGUGGCUCUCGAAGGCGGCCCGGACGAUUCUCAUCAACUCCUCGCUCUCUAGUCUCCUCUUAUUCCUUAUGAGCUUCUACAGCCUCCACGAGACCCUCCAUCAUGAGAUCGCUAAAAUCCAAUCGCGCUUCUAUUGGGCUGGGGACAAUAACAAGCAGAAGUAUCAUAUGGUUAGUUGGCCCGACAUCUGCAAGCCCCGGGAGUAG
rnacentral:rRNA from 1 species